rnacentral:lncRNA from 1 species
CUCAGCACCACAAUUAAAUAGAUAGAUAGAUUAAAAAAAUAAAAUAAAAUAAAGGCCCUUUGACAACUAAAAAUAUAUUUAAAACAACAACAACAAAAAGCUCUAUUUACCAAGAAAGUAUGCAAAAGAACUGCCAUAUCAUUCCUUCACAUAGAACAACACGGCUUUCUCACCUUUCAAAGGAUAGAAGUAAUCAGUUGGCUUUAGAAGUGAAAAAGCAUGAUGCAACUCCAAAUACAAGUAAUAAAUUUAUUCUCUCCCCCAUCAUAAUUUCAUUUGCCAACUUAUUUUAACCAAUUACCCUAACAAUCACUAACAUUUAUAAAAACACCUCUUCCCCACACCGUGUGAAGACUUCUAUUUCACAUGCUUUUACCACAAGCUUUACUCCAAUCCUAAUGUUUAUUCAUUUCAAACUGACACUGAAUGUCUUUUCAGAUUUUAUAAUUGAGGGCUGGGGUUGUGGCUCAGUGGUAGAGCAUUUGCCUAGCAUGUGUGAGGCACUGGGUUCAAUCCACAUAAAAAUAAAUAAAAUAAAGGUAUUGUGUCUGUCUACAACUAAAAAAUAAAUAAUAAAUAAAUAAAUACUUUAUGAUUGAUGCUCAAUUCAAGUUAGAUUGCUUCUCAAUAACAUCUAUACUAGUACCACUUUUUGUUACAUGAUCUACUAUGGAAGUUUCAAUAUGAUAUAUAUUUGGACAUAGAUAUUAAUCUUUGGGUGUGUUACUGGGGAUUGAACCCAGGGGUGCCCUACCACUGAACUACACCCCAAGUACUUUUUAUUUUUUGAGACACUCUCGUUGAGUUGCCAAGGCUGGCCUUAACCUUGUGAUCCUCCUGCCUCAGCCUCCUGAUUAACCUGGAUUAUAGGUGUGUGCCACCAUAUCUGGCAAUUCUAAAACAUUUUUAAACUCUAUUUAUAUCUUUGAGAGCUCCUCAAAAAGGCCUUAACACUGCCUGGUGAACUAAUUCACUGUCCCAAUGUUGGCUCAUUUCUUCUCUCUUUUUAAUCCUCUACAAUCAGGUUUUUGUUCCUCUCAUUUCCAAACCUACUUGUCAGGGUUACCAAUAUCCUUUUGUCUUGCCAAAUCCAAUAGCUAAUUCUCAGCCUUCAUCUUACUUGACCAAUUGGCAGAAUCUCUCAUUAACCAAAUUCCCCACCCCCUUUUUUCUGUACCAGGGACUAAACCCAGGGGUACUUAAUCACUAAGCCACAUCCCUAGCCUUUUUCUUUUUUUGAGACAGGGUCUCACUAAGUUGCUGAGGUUGGUCUCAAACUUGCAAUCCUCCUGCGUUAGCCUUCUGAAUCGCUGGAAUUACAGGCAUGCACCACCACACCCAACUCAAAUCCCUCCUUUUGUUUGUCACUGGUUCCUGGUACACUACAUUCCUUGAUAACAAGCUAUUCAGUCUCCUUUGCUAGACUAGUCUCCUCUUCUUGACUGAAUGUGAAAUGCCUAUGGUUUAGUCCUUGCACUUUGCCUUGCCUUCAGUCUAAAUCAAGUCCUCCAUAAUCACAUCCGGUUCCAUGAUACAAGAUUAAUCCCAUAUUUCUUAUUGGUCCUGACUAUCCCCACCACCUGAAGGCUUCCAAAUGCUUAUCUAGUUUCUCCAUAUGGAUAUCUAAUGAGCAUCUCAAAUACACAACUUGACUUUCUUCUGCCAGGUUCUUAACACUGAUGACUCUAUUUCCAACCUUCAAAGUACUUGACUUUAAAAGUAUUUAUUCUAUUUUUAAAAUAUCACCAAUUCUCAUCUAUUAAACCCCAUUCCAAGCCACUACCUCCAAUGUGAAAUUCUGAACUAGUCCUCUAAUGGUCUUCCUGCUAUUAUUAUUAUUAUUUAGUUUUUUAGAUGGAUACAAUACUUUUAUUUAUCUCUUUAUUUUUAUGUGGUGCUGAGGAUCAAACCCAGUGCCUCACACAUACAAGGCAAGCACCCUGACACUGAGCCACAAUCCCAGUCCUGCUUUCAUUAUUUUUUAAAAAUAUAUUUUUAGUUGUAGAUGGACACAAUACCUUUGUUUGUUUUACGUAGUGCAAGGCAGGCACUCCAUCACUGAGCUACAAACCAGCCCCCCCCCCCCGCUUCCAUUUAAAAAAAUAUUUUUAGUACUAGAUGGACAUAAUACCUUUAUUUUUUAUUUAUUUUUAUGUGGUGCUGAGGAUUGAAUCCAGUGCCUCACAUGUGCUAGGCAAGUGCUCUACCACUAAGCUACAACCCCAGUACCUCAGGAUCUUUAAACAAAGAUCCCUUACAUCUGCACAAAACAAGUCAGGGGCUGGUUUCCAUAUACAGAAUAAAAUUUCAUUACUUGCAGUAGCCUAAAAGGUCCUAUAAGAUCAAAUCUCUAUCUAUUUUGGUUACCUCACCUCUCCUUUCCACUCUCACUGUCUCUGCUCUAAUUUCCCUGGCUUUCUUACUAAUCCUUAAAUAAGCAAAGUUCAAUCUAUCUCUGGGACUUUGUGCUUCUGCUUCCUCUACCAGAAUCUAUUUCCUUGAUUUUUUUUCAUGGCUAACUUUAUUUUGGUCCCAGUUCAAAGAUUACCUCCCCUGACAGAUUAUCCUGACCAUCCUAAUCUAAGAACACAGGAAAUUCUCAAUAGACCUAGUUGGAGAUACUUGUCCAAGUUUAAAUAUAAAAGAACAUCUAGGAGAAAAAACAAUUCAAAAAAUAAAUAGAAUGAUUUCCCCUGAGAGAGACCAAAGGUAGUUUUCCUUUUUAAAACAAAAGAGGAAAUAGGAGAGAAGAGUGGGAUAUAUAUAUAUAUAUCUCCACACUGAUAUAAUGUACCUGCUCUUCCCAGGUGUCAGGCCUUCUUUCCUCGGGCCUUUCAUGAGAGUUUCACACAAACAUCUCAAAGAGCUGCUACUUCACAGACCAACCAUAAUACUACCAGCAACAGAUGAUUUGCGGUGACCAACCUUCAUUUCCCUGAGCACUGUCUUCCUGUUUUGAUUCUUACCACCAUCCAAGGCUCCUUCCCUUGCUCCAAGAAGGAAGGCACAUUUGGCUUAGGGAUGAUACAGCUUAAAAGAAAAGAAAUGGAACAUGGUGAUUCUACAGGAGUUCUAGAAUCAAAUCAGGUUCAUUGGCCAACAAUGAAGAGACAGUGACAGAGGAAGGUAUCAUGAUCCAAAGGAUGAUAAACACAAAAGUACACAGUGAACUACUCCAUUUCUACCUCUACAAACUGAAAUUUUCCUUGGAAAUGGAAAUUAGAAAUUCACAAUGAAGGAGGCAGAAAUUAUAUGGGGACAAAUUCUGAUUAUUAUAUAAGAAGAGCUUACUGAGUGAGGUUAAAUUGCUAUAGUUCUCUAAUGUCCUAUCCUUAUCCCUGUGGGCAAGGUCCAGGCAUUCCCAUUCCUCCCGAGAGAAGUUGACAGACAUAUUACUGAAAGUCACCGGCCACUAGAACAAAAAAUUCAUUCUUUAUUUGUGAAAAUAUGGUAACAAUUUUGAGGUGAAAUGAGAAAGGAUGGAAGAGGUCAUGGAAGGAGGUGGUAAGACACAAUAGACAAUAGGCUAUGGCUGAUAAUAUUAAUAUUAUUGGUCACUUAAGGAAUAUGUGUGCCUAAACUGUAGUAGCAACAUGAUUCUCAAGUACUCAUAUUGCUACAGACAAACCUUCUGUGUAUAAUAGGACAAUUCAAUUAAUCAGAAAGGUCUGGAAGUAAAAAAGGGGAAAUGCGGACAUGAAAAAUUGAAUGCAAUCAGACAGAAUAUUAAACUUUCUCAUUCUAAUAAACAAUAAUAAAAUCUUUUUUGUUUUAAUUAUAGAUGGACACAAUACUUUUAUUUAUUUACUUUUAUGUAGUAAUGAAGAUUGAACCCAGUGCCUUACACGUGCUAGGCAAGUGCUCUAGCACUGAGCCACAACUGCAGCCCAACAAUUAAUUCUUUAUGAAAAUAAGUCUUCCCUUCUCUUCUCCUUUUAAACAAAAAGAUAAACAAAAUUGAUAGACUCUUUCCAAACAAUUUUUGCCAGGUCUCUAGACUAAUAGAAUUUGAAAAUAACUUAAGAAAUUCUGGUCCAUGAAGAGCAAAAUGCAGGCUUUAGAAACCAUUUUAAUAUUUCAUGCAUGUAAUUUUGACAUCUGAAAAUAGGUUUUUGUAUAUUUAUGGUGGGAAGUAUUUGGUAACUUUCAACAAAGUGGGGUGUUAAUUUUUGUACAGUCUAUGGGCAUUUACACAUAUUUUUAAUGUAUUAAAAUUUGGUAAUUAUGUGCACAUGAAAUUAAUAAAAUAGUUACUUCCUGUUAUGAUUUGUGAAUUCCUUAAGACCUUGGUUUUUUAAAAUAACUUUAUAUGAGAAAUAAUACUACAUCUUUAUAUUUUAAAAAUUGUAUUGCUGCUCAAGAAUGGUACCCUGUUGUCAAAAAGACAUACAUUCAUAAUUGUACAUUCAGCAUUGUAAAUAACCUUAUGAAAUCCUUUUUUUAAUUGAAGCUAUUCAAAAUAAAAAUUUAAAUUUAAAAGCUCUGGACUGGCACAUUCUGGCCAUCUCCAAGGCAAACCUCACUGAAAACCGUCUUCACUCAUUGGUUCCUGGGUGAGAUUAGUAUGAUGAUAAGUAGAAUAAUCCCCGCCCCCCAUGUCCACAUCCUAUUCCCUUGAACCUGUAACUACAUUACCUUACAUGACAAAAGGGACUUGUCAGGUGUGAUUAAGGAUCCAGAGAUAUGGGAAAUUAUCCUAGAUUACUUGGCUGGGCCUAAUGUAAUCACAAGGGUAUUUAUAAAUGACUGAAAAAACAGGGAAGUCAGAGGAGGAGACCUUGUUAUAAACACACAAGUCAAAAUGAUAUGAUUCUUGACUUUGAGAAUGCAAGGAAGCCACAAGCCAAAGACUGUGGGCAUUCUCUAGAUCCUAGAAAACAUAAGGAAACAGAUUCACCUCUAGAACAUCCAGAAAAAACACAGCUUGGCUGAUACCCUGACUGAAGCCCUAUCCGACCCAUUACAGACUUCUGACCUCCAGAAGUAUAAAAAUAAACUUCUUGUUUUUCUUUUUUUGGUACUGGGGAUUGAACCCAGGGGUGCUUUACCACUGAGCUAUAUCCCUAGCUCUUUUUAUUUUUUUGAAUCAGGAUCUUACUAAGUUAUAGAGGAUGGUCUUGAACUUGUGAUCCUCCUGCCUCUAGAGUAGCUUGGAUUAUAGGUGUGAGCCACUGGGUCCAGUAAUUUCUUUCUUUCUUUUUUUUUUUUUUUUUUUGUUUUUUUUAGACAAAUUUAUUGUUGUUACAAUAACAACAGGAACACAAGGGUCAAGAUCUCUUUCUUCACAGGACUCCGUUCCCACCCAAUUUUUAAAGUUUCACAGAAAAUCUUGUCACACACUGACAGAACAUCCAAAGAGAAAUGCUGUCAUUUCCAACUGGAAAAACUAUGUAGAGAAGAUCAAGGUUUACUAUAUGUCCCUCUUAACAAUUCAUCUCUAACUCAUCAAACCAUGGUACUAAGACUGCUCUUAAGAGGAGGUAUUUCAGCCGGGCUUGGUGACACACACCUAUAAUCCCAGCAACUUGGGAGGCUGAGACAGGAGGAUAGCGAGUUCAAAGCCAGCCUCAGCAACGGGGGUGAUGCACUAAGUAACUCAGAGAGACCCUGGCUCUAAUAAAAAAUAUAAAAAUUGGGCUGGGGAUGUGACUCAGUAGUUGAGCGUUCCCUGAG